UGUUGUAAGCAGAUUUCUCUACCGCGCUUAAUUUUUUUACAAUCUCUGUAUUUCGAAUCAAAAUUCUAUCAAAGUUGUACAACAUGAAUUUGAAAUAAAGCUGAAAAAUUAUACACUUAAGUACAGCUAUUUAUAAGAACCAGGCAGAAAUGAAAAUAAGUGAUUCAUGAUAGUGAUAGAUUUUUCAAAAACUAUCAUAUUUACAUUAAGAUACAUCAAACUAAAUACUUGAUCAUAGUUAUAAAUGGAUUUCAUGCAUAGUUGAUUAAAAAAUGAAUUCAAUAUAUACUGAAACAGUCAACAAUAUCCAUUGAAAGGUGUCUGUACGUGCAGGUAAUUUUUUAAGAAGGCCCGCACCCUCCUUGAAUGUGAAUUAUAAAAUAUUGAACAUCUAGUAUCAAAGAGUAAAAAACAAUUAAAAAACCCAUGGGUUAUUUUAAUUACGAAUAGAUAUUGUGAUUUUAAAUUAUGUAAAAACAUGAAAUUCUAGUUAUCUCCCUUGGCACUCUUUAGUAAAAGGAGUUGGAAAGAGUGUAUUUAACUCUUCAGUUUAGAAGGGGAGGAUUAAGAAAUGUGUGUGAUUUCAUCUUCAUUUUGGAAGUUUUGCCGGUUUUCUUACAUCCAAGGGGCAUGUAAGACUUUAGCUCGCUGCUGGGGAUUAGAGUAUGAUGAGUAUCUCUCCUUUCCGUCGAUAAUCCCUUAGUACAGCAAUAUACACAGUCGACUGGAAUAAAUCCUCGACCUCAGCAUACAUGAAGCCAUAGCAAGAAGCAGUGAAAGCCACAGCAGAGAUUGGAUGGAGCAUGAUUUUUUCUAUGUCUCGGCGCCUCUAUGGAUGUCAUAUUUAGAUCAGAUGCAAUCUGAGCCUUGUUCUGAAUUUUAAAAUCCCUUUUGACAACACCUGCACAGCUGAGCAAUCAAGGGCCUUCUGACUAAGGGCUGAAUUAUAGUGAACACUACCAUUCAGAGACUUUGAAACAGAUUGAUGAAUGAACCACAUGCAUUAUGUCAGAGGAAUCUAGCUGGAGAGCCAGGACACAUAGAUGUACCUGUACAGUUGAUACAGAUAAUCUCAAUGGCACAUUUCUAAAUGAUAGCCAAAAAAUCUAAUAAAGAAACUAUCAGUUUAAAACUUUUUGAAAGAAAUCCAGACCAGAAACAAAGGAUGUUGAUUUUUAAGCUCCUCCAAAUGUAAAAGGGGUUUUAUUGAAACCAAGACCAGGAUACACCCAAGGAUAUUUAAUAUUACACCCCUUCAACAUAAAAUUUUGAAUUUUAGUUUGCCUAUCUAGUCAAGAACAUUCUUUUUUUUUUUUUACAUUUGAUACACUUUUUAAUGUUAUAUUGACAUUUUUUCAAGAUUUCUUUACUGUAAACUAUGUAUUUCAGCAAAAAGUACAUUUACAGAUAAUAUUUUAAAAAUUGCUUUAAAAAUACAAUUGAAAUGUUUAGAUCAUGUCUCAUAAAUGGUUAAUCACAGUUACCACAGAAACCAAAUAUUUGUUUUAAAAAGUUGGGUACAAAAAAAUGUUGUGUCUUUCAGUAUUUUAGCUAAUGGCGACUCAUACAGUUUUCUUCAUACAAGCUAAUCACAUUGACUAAAUUGUAUAGGCAAAUACAAUAUUUUUGGAGAUGUUGUCAUGGUAACCAGAUACAAAAAUCACAAAAGCAUAUUUAAAAAAAAAAAUAUUUUCAUGCAUUUACAAUAAACUGUAAAAAUACAUGUCUGUUAGUCAAUAAUUAUUUUGUAUUUUAUGGAUAUUUUGUAAAGACAAUAUAUUUUAAAAAGCAUUUCAAGAAUAAUUUGUUACCAUGGUUACAAAAAUUUAUGAGAAAUCCACUGGUUUUAUCUAAUAUUUGCAAGGUUUAGGAGAACAUUUUCUAUCUUAUAUUAUCAAUUUUUAUGUGCUUGUGGUGUUUUUUCCACAACAUACUCUGAAAAUGAUGUAUUUUGGUAUUUUCUUGAAAAAUGAAUUUUUGUGAUAUUCUGUUGCCAUGGUUACAGAAAUUUUUUGAAAAAACCAUGGGUUUUGUUUUGUUUUAUUAGAAUUAAGAAUGUUGUCUUUCUAUCCCAUGCCUUCAGUUUUCUUUAACAUGUGGGAUUUUUUUCUAACUAUGCUCUUAAAAAUUGUUAUUAUUGUGAAAAAUGAAAUUUUGUGACAUUUUGUUGCCAUGGUAACAGAAUAUUAUUGAAAAACCCAUGGGUUUUAUUUAAUUUUAAUAAAAUUAAGAAAAUGAUCUUUCUAUUCCACAUUAUCAGAUUUCUUUAACCUGUGGGAAUUUUUCUUGCUGUGCUCUUAAAAAAGGUUAUUAUUGUGAAAAAUGAAUUUUUGUGACAUUUCGUUGCCAUGGUAACAGAGUAUUUUUAAAAAACCCAUGGGUUUUAUUUUAUUUUGUUAAAAUUAAGAAUGUGCUCUUUCUAUUCCAUGUUAUCAGAUUUCUUUAACAUGCGGGCCUUUUUCUUAAUAUGCUUCUAAAAUAUGUUGGAUUUGAAGAAAUAUUGUAAAAAGUGAAUUUUAUGAAAUGGCCUAUGUUAAAUUGAAAGUCAGCACCUUUAAUAAAACCUAUAUAAUUUCAUCCUUAUGGUAAUCAUUUAUCAUUUUGUAUGUACUUCUCAGGAAAAAAAUAUUUAUUUAUGGUACUAUCAUCAAAAAAGCUCUGUUCCCGUGUUCAAUAAUAGCUAAAUUCACAUAUUUUUCCAUUUUUUGCUUGGUUGCCAUGUGCAUUUACAUGGUGCAUUGUUUCCAUGGCAACAAAGGCUGGCCAAAAAAAUUAUGUUGUCCAAUGAUGUUCCCUUGGUCCAUGAAGCAACAUAUUAAAAUUUUGUAAAAAUCUGAAUUGGUCAUGAAUCACCCCCUGCCUGGUCCUUACAAAUAGCUGUACUUAAAUUGAAUUAUUU